rnacentral:rRNA from 1 species
CAGCACCGCGGUAAUACGAAGGGGGCUAGCGUUGCUCGGAAUGACUGGGCGUAAAGGGCGCGUAGGCGGUUCGUACAGUUGGAUGUGAAAUUCCUGGGCUUAACCUGGGGGCUGCAUUCAAUACGUGCGGGCUUGAGUGUGGAAGAGGGUUGUGGAAUUCCCAGUGUAGAGGUGAAAUUCGUAGAUAUUGGGAAGAACACCGGUGGCGAAGGCGGCAACCUGGUCCAUAACUGACGCUGAGGCGCGAAAGCGUGGGGAGCAAACAGGAUUAGAUACCCCGGUAGUCCCUGUCUCUUAUACA